rnacentral:tRNA from 1 species
AGGGAUAUAGGCCAGUGGUAGAGUUGUUGCCUGGCAUGCACAAGGCCUGGGUUCAAUUCCCAGUAUUGCAA